UGGGAAAUUUAUGGGGAGAGUAAUUUUGUCAUGUAAAAAGUGAAGACGAAGCAUUCUUUACCAAGUGUUUGUUUCUAUAUAUUUUAACAAUAUUUGCCGAAUUCGCAUGCUGUCAAAAACUGUGUCGGCAGGGUAAAUUAAGGGCUGAAUCCUAUAGCUUCUUCUUUCACAGUGACGUUCUAGAAUUUCAGUCAAACAGUCAAUCAGUUACCUUUUGCAAACAUUUCAUCGUGCAUGUAACUUAUCCUCGCUCCCUCUCUCUAUAUAGGUCUGUCUUUGCUGAAGACAUUUUUGAAAGACUAUAUAUAUCUCGUUAUUUCCGAAAUCAAAGAAUUCUUAAAGAGACUGCUCCUAAAACGUUGAUUGUCAGAAGCAAUAAAAUGGCUAGCCGAUUGUGUUUCAAUAUUGGGUUCUUGAUUGUUGCAUCGGUAGGUUUGCUUCACGGUGCAUAUGCAGCUAAUACUUACACAGUUGGAGGUGAUUUGGGAUGGAUUGUUCCUCCGAACAGCUCUUACUAUGAGGAAUGCACCAGCCAGAGCACAUUUCAGACAGGAGACGCCUUCGUAUUCAACUGGACAAUCGGAACACAUACCGCAACUGAAGUAAGUACCAAGGAGGACUACGAUAAUUGAGUUAAAGUCACUUUCAAAGAAAAUGCCACGCACUACUUCCUCUGCUCUGAAGGAACACACUGUGAGCAAGGCCAGAAGAUGAUAAUCAAAAUUGGAGAUGGCAUACCGCCAAGUUUUGCAGCUCCAUCUCUUACCGCGGCCGCCGCCUUAUCUGCUCUUUUCUUCUCCACCUUAGUUUUCUUCUUCUUAAACUAAAUCUAAAGACACCCCCCGUCAUGCAAGUUACCUUUUCUUAUCCAGUAGCUCUAGAAUUGGGUGAGCCCUAGAUAGCUUGUUGGUAAUAAUCGAUGUGGGGAUAUUUAAAUUGUUUAUGACAGUGUACCGAUUACAUUUGUUCGUUGUAAUAAAGCUGUCUUUGCAAUGAAAGAUCCUUACACCGAUAAGGUCAGGUAGGAGACAGCCUUCGUUGGACCA